rnacentral:SRP_RNA from 1 species
GCCAGGUGUGGUGGCGCAUGCCUGUAAUCCCAGCUACUCAGGAGGCCGAGGCAGGAGAAUCGCUUGAACCGGGGAGGUGGAAGUUGCAGUGAGCCGAGAUCACGCCACUUCACUCCAGUCUGGGUGACAGAGUGAAACUGUCUCAAAAAAAGUAAAUAAAUAAAAUAAAGGAAAAAGAAAGUUCAAUUUUUAGAAAAUCUUAUAAAUAUUUAUGGCUUUUUUUUUUUUUUUUUUUGAGAUAGAGUUUCCCUCUUGUCACCCAGGCUGGUGUGCAGUGGCGUGAUCUCGGCUCACUGCAAUCUCCACCUCCUGGGUUCAAGUGAUUCUCCUGCCUCAG